rnacentral:rRNA from 1 species
GACGAACGCUGGCGGCGUGCUUAACACAUGCAAGUCGAACGGAAAGGCCUGCUUUCCCUUGUGGAUUGCGGGUACUCGAGUGGCGAACGGGUGAGUAACACGUGAGUGAUCUGCCCCCAACUUGGGUAUAAGCCUGGGAAACUGGGUCUAAUUCCCGAUAGGACUGCAGGGUGGUGCCUGUGGUGGAAAACGAUUUUCUAGUGGUUGGGGAUGAGCUCGCGGCCUAUCAGCUUGUUGGUGGGGUAAUGGCCUACCAAGGCGGCGACGGGUAGCCGGCCUGAGAGGGUGGACGGCCACAUUGGGACUGAGGUACGGCCCAGACUCCUACGGGAGGCAGCAGUGGGGAAUAUUGCACAAUGGGCGGAAGCCUGAUGCAGCGACGCCGCGUGGGGGAUGACGGCCUUCGGGUUGUAAACUCCUUUCGACCGCGAGGAAGCCACCUGGUUGGAAGGGUGGUGACGGUAGUGGUAGAAGAAGCACCGGCUAACUACGUG